rnacentral:tRNA from 1 species
CCGGUAGCUCAGCUGGUAGAGCAACGGACUUUUAAUCCGUCGGUCGUGAGUUCGAAUCUCACCCGG